rnacentral:rRNA from 1 species
UACGUAGGGUCCGAGCGUUGUCCGGAGUUACUGGGCGUAAAGGGCGCGCAGGCGGCGGUGCUGGCCCGGCGUGAAAGCCCCCGGCUCAACCGGGGAGGGUCGUCGGGGACCGCACCGCUUGAGGGCGGUAGGGGCCGGUGGAAUGCCUGGUGUAGUGGUGAAAUGCGUAGAGAUCAGGCAGAACACCUGGGGCGAAGGCGGCCGGGCUGGGCCCGACCCUGACGCUGAGGCGCGAAGGCGUGGGGAGCGAACGGG